CCUACGGGUGACAGCAGUGGGGAAUAUUGCACAAUGGGGGAAACCCGGAGGCAGCGAGGCGGCGGGAGGGAAGAGGAAAUUGGUUAGGUAAAGCUCUAUCAGCAGGGAAGAAAAGGACGGUACCUGAGUAAGAAGCCCCGGCUAACUACGGGCCAGCAGCCGCGGUAAUACGUAGGGGGCAAGCGUUAUCCGGAUUUACUGGGGGUAAAGGGAGCGUAGACGGCAGUGCAAGUCUGGAGUGAAAGGCGGGGGCUCAACCCCCGGACUGCUCUGGAAACUGUACGGCUGGAGUGCAGGAGAGGUAAGUGGAAUUCCUAGUGUAGCGGUGAAAUGCGUAGAUAUUAGGAGGAACACCAGUGGCGAAGGCGGCUUACUGGACUGUAACUGACGUUGAGGCUCGAAAGCGUGGGGAGCAAACAGGAUUAGAUACCCCUGUAGUC
rnacentral:rRNA from 1 species